rnacentral:rRNA from 1 species
GACGAACGCUGGCGGCGUGCUUAACACAUGCAAGUCGAACGGUGAAGCUCCAGCUUGCUGGAGUGGAUCAGUGGCGAACGGGUGAGUAACACGUGAGCAACCUGCCCCAGACUCUGGAAUAAGCGCUGGAAACGGCGUCUAAUACUGGAUACGAGAUCAAGCCGCAGGGUGAUGGUCUGGAAAGUUAUUCGGUUUGGGAUGGGCUCGCGGCCUAUCAGCUUGUUGGUGAGGUAAUGGCUCACCAAGGCGACGACGGGUAGCCGGCCUGAGAUGGCGACCGGCCACACUGGGACUGAGACACGGCCCAGACUCCUACGGGAGGCAGCAGUGGGGAAUAUUGCACAAUGGGCGAAAGCCUGAUGCAGCGACGCCGCGUGAGGGAUGACGGCCUUCGGGUUGUAAACCUCUUUCAGCAGGGAAGAAGCGAAAGUGACGGUACCUGCAGAAGAAGCACCGGCUAACUACGUG